ACUAUUUUGCCCAAGCAUUUUGUUCAAUUUGGAAGACAUGGUAUUGAGAAAAGAAUGGGGACUGUGACGUGGAUCCAGCAUGGCCUUUCAGUGAUCUUUUAACCUUGAUGACUUCGUGGGGGUGCACGUGGGGAGGAGAGCAUUGUGGAAAAUGGUAACAGUGCAUUGUUUGCUUUGCUCCAACAUCUUCUUAAACUUUGAGUGAAUAGUA